rnacentral:lncRNA from 1 species
GUGCGUGAAGUGGAGAGGCGGCUGCCGAGUGUGCAAGCCGGUCACAGCGCAGCAAGGAUUUUCCAAGAGGCGGUGGUGACUGGCCCUUCCCCGCCUCCUGGCCGGGGAGCUGGCUCUUCCACUGCCGCGAGCCCAAAUCUAGACCUGACCUGGAGGCACAGGCUCUUGCUCCCUGUGCCCAGUAGCAGUUUGAGUCCGGGACACUCCCCAGGGCCAUCUGGGGCUGUCCAGGCACUACAGCCAGCAGAAGACGCUACUGGUGUCCCUGAUGUUUGGUCAUUUUCAAUGCCAAUUAAGCUACAAUGGUUCUCCCACACCUGGAAGCUAAUGAGUAAUGAACACUAUUAAGGCUUAUUUCAAAUGUAAAAAUCUUGAGAUAAUGUACUAAAUUGUUCAGAAGGUUGUUUUCUUAGUAGAAUGCUAUAGGAUUUUCUUUAGCCAUCCUGAGUUCCUGCCUUCGUCCCAGUGCCAGUAAAGACCAAGGUGGAAGAAUUUCCAGUGUUGCUAAAAACCGGACAAGACUUCAGCUGAGAAACGGACGAGACUUCAGAUCAAG